GGACCUGACUGCUAUCGGAUUGCAUUUUAAGCCAUGCGAGUCAUUGUAGCAAUACAAGGCAUACGGCUCAGUAACGCGUAGUCAACCUAACCUAUGGACGGGAAUAACCUCGGGAAACUGAGAAUAAUGCCCGAUAGAACAUUAUGCCUGGAAUGGUUUAUGUUCCAAAUGAUUUAUCGCCGUAGGAUGGGACUGCGGCCUAUCAGUUUGUUGGUGAGGUAAUGGCCCACCAAGACUAUUACAGGUACGGGCUCUGAGAGGAGUAGCCCGGAGAUGGGUACUGAGACACGGACCCAGGCCCUAUGGGGCGCAGCAGGCGAGAAAACUUUGCAAUGUGCGAAAGCACGACAAGGUUAAUCCGAGUGGUUUCUGCUAAAGAAACCUUUUGUCAGUCCUAGAAACACUGAUGAAUAAGGGGUGGGCAAGUUCUGGUGU
rnacentral:rRNA from 1 species